AGUGAACGCUGGCGGCGUGCUUAACACAUGCAAGUCGAGCGAGAUUUGACAGCUUAUCGUCAAGUCUAGCGGCAGACGGGUGAGUAAUACUUGGGCAAUCUGCCCUUGAGUGGGGGACAACCUGCCGAAAGGCGGGCUAAUACCCCAUAGGACCACGGGAAUGCAUAUUCCAGAGGUCAAAGCUCCGCAAGGGGCGCUUGAGGAGGAGCCCGAGUCCUANCAUGGUAGUUGGCGGGGUAAUGGCCCACCAAGCCGUUGACGGGUAGCCGGCCUGAAAGGGCAACCGGCCACACUGGCACUGAGACACGGGCCAGACUCCUACGGGAGGCAGCAGUGGGAAUUUUGGACAAUGGGGCAACCCUGAUCCAGCGACGCCGCGUGAAGGAUGAAGGUC
rnacentral:rRNA from 1 species